rnacentral:rRNA from 1 species
GCUUAACACAUGCAAGUCGAACGGCAGCACAGGGUAGCUUGCUAUCCGGGUGGCGAGUGGCGGACGGGUGAGUAACGCGUAGGAAUCUACCUUAUCGUGGGGGAUAACCCGGGGAAACCCGGGCUAAUACCGCAUACGCCCUACGGGGGAAAGCGGGGGACCUUCGGGCCUCGCGCGGAAAGAUGAGCCUGCGUCCUAUCAGGUAGUUGGUGAGGUAAUGGCUCACCAAGCCAACGACGGGUAGCUGGUCUGAGAGGACGACCAGCCACACUGGGACUGAGACACGGCCCAGACUCCUACGGGAGGCAGCAGUGGGGAAUAUUGGACAAUGGGGGCAACCCUGAUCCAGCAAUACCGCGUGUGUGAAGAAGGCCUUCGGGUUGUAAAGCACUUUUAGCAGGAAAGAAAGCCUGUGCGCUAAUACCGCAUGGUUUUGACGUUACCUGCAGAAAAAGCACCGGCUAACUCCGUGCCAGCAGGCGCGGUAAUAC